ACUCCUACGGGAGGCAGCAGUGGGGAAUAUUGGACAAUGGGGGCAACCCUGAUCCAGCAAUGCCGCGUGUGUGAAGAAGGCCUUCGGGUUGUAAAGCACUUUCGGUGGGGACAAACAAGGCGGAGCUAACAUCUCCGUCCCUGAUGGUACCCAAAGAAGAAGCACCGGCUAACUCUGUGCCAGCAGCCGCGGUAAUACAGAGGGUGCAAGCGUUAAUCGGAAUUACUGGGCGUAAAGGGUGCGUAGGUGGUUUGUUAAGUCAGGCGUGAAAUCCUCGGGCUCAACCUGGGAACUGCGCUUGAUACUGACUGACUCGAGUGUGGUAGAGGAUAGUGGAAUUCCCGGUGUAGCGGUGAAAUGCGUAGAUAUCGGGAGGAACAUCAGUGGCGAAGGCGGCUAUCUGGACUAACACUGACACUGAGGCACGAAAGCGUGGGUAGCAAACAGGAUUAGAUACCCUGGUAGUCCACGCCCUAAACGAUGGGUACUAGACGUCGGGAAGCUUGUCUUCUUGGUGUCGCAGCUAACGCAAUAAGUACCCCGCCUGGGGAGUACGGUCGCAAGAUUAAAACUCAAAUGAAUUGACGG
rnacentral:rRNA from 1 species